rnacentral:lncRNA from 1 species
CUCUCGUCCUUGGACCAGGAACGCCGGACUGAAUCCUGUUGUGUCGGACACGCUCCUAUUGAUUGCCAAUGCAAUCUCCGGUAGCAGGGUGUCCCAUGUACUAUGCGGUCCCUCGAUCCGGUCGCGAAAAGCUUUCUCCAGGUAUGUUGCCGUGGCACGGCGCAGAGGUAUCAACUCCACCCAUUUGGAAAACAUAUCCAAGAAGACUAGUAACACUGUGUUACCUUGUUUGGAUCUCGGCAGUGGUCCAACGAAGUCGGCGCAAAUGGUAGCGAAAGGCUCGCUUGCCUGUCGUGUUAGCAUCUUCCCUGCUGGCUUGGCUUGUUGCGUCUUGAACUUUUGGCACACAGCACAUUUCCUUACGUAGCGAGCGACGUCUCUGAAGAUUCCGGGCCAAUAAUAUCUUUGACAUACCCUUGUCGUUGUUUUGCGUAUUCCCAGGUGUCCCGCGCUUGGUUGGUCGUGGAAUUCUUGCAGCAACACACAGAGCUUCCAUGGUAUGAAAUCUUCCUCCAGGGGCCGUUGUCCUACGUUCCUGUACAAUUGUCCGUUCUCCAGGGUAUAAUCGGGGUACUUCUCUGGUCGCUCCAGUGUCACCUGUGUGCGUCGUCGUAUCCAUGCGCAUGUGUUCUGUUCCUCGAUGAUUAUCUGUAUGGCCUCGAGUGGCUGUCGUGACAAGGCGUCUGCGACAACGUUCUGUCGUCCUUUUCGGUAGUGAAUGUCGAACUGGAACUGUUGGAGCUCCAGGGCCCAUCGUGCAAUUCGUCCUGUGGGAUUUUCGAUCGUGUUGAGCCACUUGAGGGCCAAGUGGUCCGUCACGACGUCGAACCUGUAUCCUUCCAAAUAGCAACGCAGCUUCCUGAUGGCCCAGACGAUUGCUAAGCAUUCCUUCUCGGUGGCGGAGUAAUUCUCCUCGGCCCUCGAUAGUCUCCGGCUCACAUAUGCAAUGACCCUCUCGCCGUCGGCACUCGGCUGGGUUAGUACUCNUCCUUUCCGGUAGUGAAUGUCGAACUGGAACUGUUGGAGUUCCAGGGCCCAUCGUGCAAUUCGUCCUGUGGGAUUUUCGAUCGUGUUGAGCCACUUGAGGGCCAAGUGGUCCGUCACGACGUCGAACCUGUAUCCUUCCAAAUAGCAACGCAGCUUCCUGAUGGCCCAGACGAUUGCUAAGCAUUCCUUCUCGGUGGCGGAGUAAUUCUCCUCGGCCCUCGAUAGUCUCCGGCUCACAUAUGCAAUGACCCUCUCGCCGUCGGCACUCGGCUGGGUUAGUACUCCUCCUAGUCCGUAGUCGCUGGCGUUAGUCUGGAAAGAGAACUUACUGGUAAAAUCCGGACACGCGAGAACUGGUGCCUCGGUCAGUAGUUCCUUGAGUUGUGCGAACGCUUGCUGUUGUGGCAUUUCCCACGUCCAUUUCUUGCCUUUCCGAAGUAGCUGUGACAUCGGUUGUACCACGGCUGCAAAGUUUGGGACAAAUCGCCUGUACCAGGAGGCGAGACCCAGGCAUCGGCGUAGUUCUCGUACACUGGUUGGAGCUGCGAGCUUUUGGACAGCGGCGAUCUUCUCGGGAUCGGUGUGAAUUCCUUCCUUUCUAACGACGUGCCCCAGGUACACCAACCUGCGCUGGAAGAAGAGGCACUUCUUCCGGUUAAGCCUGAGGUUCGCUUGCCGUAAGCGCCUCAACACUUCUCUGAGAUUCCUGACGUGUUCCUCCAAUGUGGUUCCAAUGAUGAUGAUGUCAUCGAGAUAUGCGAACGCGUGGGGUUCCAUAUCUGCCCCGAUGACGCUGUCGAGUGCCCUCUGGAAUGUUGCGGGUGCUGAGUGGAGUCCAAAUGGCAUAACACGCCAUUGGAAAAGACCUCGGCCUGGUACUGUGAACGCGGUGCAUUCACGGCUUGCCUUGGCCAUGGUAUCUGCCAAUACCCGCUUUUCAAGUCCAAUGUGCUAAUAUACUUAGCGUUCCGCAAUCUCUCCAAGAUUGAAUUUAUCCUCGGCAGGGGGUAUGCAUCCGGUACCGAUCGUGCAUUGAGUUGCCGAAAGUCCACACACAUGCGGGUUUCUCCAGUUUUCUUGCCCACCAACACAAUAGGGGCACUGUGUGGGCUUUUGGACGGCUCGAUGCAUCCGUCCCGUAGUAACUCGUCUACUUGCGCGUGAAUUAUCCCUUGCAUGGCUGGGAUCCAGGCGUCGUCCUGUGUGGUCCUCGUUCUCACUGCUAAGGUGCUAAGGUUGCUUUUCCUUGUCAUCGAUGGGGGGCCACAGAUGAUCCCCGGCCACCUCGCGGUUGCAGAUGCCGGGAUCAUCUUGCUUCCUUGUCCUCCCUGGUCGCGUGACGACCGCCUCGCGGAUGCAGGCGUCGUCCUUGCUUGACCUCGUCGUCGAUGAUGACCCGCCGGCCACCUCGCGGUUGCAGGUGCCGGGAUCAUCUUGAUUCCUUGUCCUCCAUGGUCGUGUGACGACCGCCUCGCGGAUGCAGGCGUCGUCUUUGAGUGUCCCCGUGGUCUCUGUUGAUGUGACGACCGCCUCGCGGAUGCAGGCGUCGUCCUGGUUUGUCCUCGCUGGUCGGUGGCACUCCGUGGUUACGUGGUUGGCUCUGCUCAAGGGCAUGAGCAACCCUCCUACCUGCAGCUUGGCAUCUAUGGCGGCAAAGAAAUCCAAUCCGAGUAGCACGUCGUCGAGAGCCGAUGGCAGGACCAGCAUCAGGAGGCUAGCCCGUGAUUGUCCGAGUCGUACCUCUGCUUGAAUUGCCCGCGUUAGUUCCAUCCUUGUCCCAUUUGCCAAAGCUAUUGUUGUUCAAACUGUUCGUCUGUUAGCCGGGGUCUCGAUGAGUCGUGCCUUCUGCUUGCUGAGGAAACUCCGCGUGGCCCCCGUGUCCAGCGUCGCUAUCAUCACCUCAGCCUCGAUGCUUGCCUCGGCGGCAAGCCUGCCAUCUCGCGGACGCUAGUCCCGCUAGUCCCAGGACUCGCUCGUUGGCCCUCUCAUCUGUCCUGGGUUUGAUGAGGGGCGAUGGGCGUUUCCCGUCUCCUUAGCCUGGCAGCAGUCGAUGGUCCUCACUCCUCGGCGGCCACAGUUCCAGCAGAAUAGUGUCCGAGUUCCACGGCAUUCCCUGGCAAAGUGUCCAAGUACUCCGCAGUUCCGGCAGUUCGAGUUCCUGAGCUUCCGAGUAACCAGCGCGGUUCAUCAUUAGGCAAAUGUCCACUAGAUACUGCUUUUAUCCCUCGUUUUCCCUCUGGUAUCGCAUCCUGAUCUCGUCCUCCAGUCUCUGAAAGUACCGCGGGGGUAGGAAGAAAUCCAAAAACUCCCGGCGAAACACGUUCCAUGGCUCUCCCUGUAGAUGACUCGUGCGGAACCAGUCCUCGGCAGUACCUUUUCAAAGUUCCGGUACUCCUUGGGCCAAACUGCUGGUGUCCACUCGGUGUGAUACGGCUCGUUCCUCCAACCGCUCGAUGAAUCGCAAGGGAUCGCUGACGCCGUCAAAAGUGACUCCCCAGCGUUGCAUGCGCUCCACGCCCCUAGCUCCGGAGACGUCGCAUUGAUUUGGUAGCAUCACCCUCUCGUUGGUUCGCGACACGAACUGCUGCUGUCCGGGCACCGGUAUGCUUACGUAAUGCAUCCCCGGUCUGGUUGGUUCUUCUUGGGGAAUUUCCUUCGCUUGGGGUCCAUUUCCACUCGUAGUAGGCGAGAGGCUCCGAGAUCGCUGCUGUGUUUCUGGCUUGGUGUCUGGAGUCCGUGCUCGUCCAAAGGUGUCUUCAAGUUCCUCUAGGCGGGCCUGGAUGGAAGCCGAGUGUCCCCCACGGUUCACAAAGGCAGACAUGCGGCCUCGGAGUUCCUCCACGGGGCCUUCUCGUUCGAGUCUGAAUUCCUUGGCGAAUGCCUCCAGUUCCGCCUUGCGCCGGUACGAGAUCCAUCCGACUCCUACCAUGCUGCUAUGUGGAGUCUGCUCCCGUGUCCUGGGUCCUGUGCCUUGAUUCCGGUGUCGCUUGUGUCCUUGUUGUAUUCCAGCUGUGUCCUGUGCUAUGCCUGUGCAAUGUAUCCUUGGUAUCCUGUGGGCUGUCCUUGUUCCUAGUAUCCUUGUUGUAUCGAAGUGUUAUCCUGUGCGAUGUCCUUGGUUCUAGUAUCCUGUGCGAUGUCCUUGUUGUAUACCCGUAGUAUCCCUGGUAAAUCCUUUUGUUUUCACUUGGUCAGAAUGUUUAUGAUUAGGAACGAUGUGCACUGCUCAAUGACUCUGGGUCGACUGUCCUCUUUUAUGCUCUGCUAGCUUAAUUUAUGGGGGAUUCAUUUGCGGCCGAACAAUCGUGACGGAGAGUUCACGAGCGCUGCUUGGCCCGCCUCUCUCUCUUCCGACCUUCGUAGAUGCGAUCACCCAAAAAAAUAUAACCUCUUUUCUGUGCGAUCUCUCUGCUCCUCGUAGCUCCGAAAUGUUUACUUUGUCUGCCCUGUGGGCCCUGAGAACCUCGUGUGUGCGCACUCCCGCUUGCCUCUCACUGGCACGUAUAAGUUCCUUGAAAACUGGGCAUUUUCCCGUACAGUGUGUAAACCGGAAACAACAAAACCUUGACCAAUGAUUUUCCAACUGUUCCCGUGUGCUUUUGGGUGUCCCAGUGUCCGUAAAACUGGGCAAUUGGCAAAAGUGCCGAAACGCGUGCAAAAUAAACCCCUGGCCAAUUACUUUCAAACUGUGCAUGUGUGGUUUUGGGUGCCCCAGUGUACGUGAAACUGUGCAAUUGGCAAAAGUGCUGAAACGCGUGCAAAAGAAACCCCUGGCCAAUUACUUUAAAACUGUGCAUGUGUGGUUUUUGGUGCCCCAGUGUCCGUGAAACUGUGCCCACGUGAAGGUGUUUGUGAAAAUGCACUCGUGUGCAUGCAGUCCGGCCUAUGUUAAGGGAAACCUAAAUUUCAAAAACAAAUGAAACGCACCCCCCCCCCCCCCUGUGUGCAAAAGCGCAG